rnacentral:rRNA from 1 species
GUGGGGAAUAUUGCGCAAUGGGCGAAAGCCUGACGCAGCGACGCCGCGUGAGGGAUGAAGGUUUUCGGAUCGUAAACCUCUGUCAGAAGGGAAGAAACUACAUUGUGCUAAUCAGCAGUGUACUGACGGUACCUUCAAAGGAAGCACCGGCUAACUCCGUGCCAGCAGCCGCGGUAAUACGGAGGGUGCAAGCGUUAAUCGGAAUUACUGGGCGUAAAGCGCACGUAGGCUGUAGUGUAAGUCAGGGGUGAAAUCCCACGGCUCAACCGUGGAACUGCCUUUGAUACUGCACAACUUGAAUCCGGGAGAGGGUGGCGGAAUUCCAGGUGUAGGAGUGAAAUCCGUAGAUAUCCGGAGGAACACCGGUGGCGAAGGCGGCCACCUGGACAGGUACUGACGCUGAGGCGCGAAAGCGUGGGGAGCAAACAGGAUUAGAAACCCGAGUAGUCC